rnacentral:rRNA from 1 species
AUUGAACGCUGGCGGCAGGCCUAACACAUGCAAGUCGAGCGAGCGGCGGACGGGUGAGGAAUGUCUGGGAAACUGCCUGAUGGAGGGGGAUAACUACUGGAAACGGUAGCUAAUCCCGCAUAUCAUCUGAUGUGCCCAGAUGGGAUUCGCUAGUAGGUGGGGGAAAGGCUCAACUAGGCGACGAUCCCUAGCUGGUGUGAGAGGAUGACCAGCCACACUGGAACUGAGACACGGUCCAGACUCCGACGGGAGGCAGCAGUGGGGAAUAUUGCACAAUGGGCGCAAGCCUGAUGCAGCCAUGCCGCGUGUAUGAAGAAGGCCUUCGGGUUGUAAAGUACUUUCAGCGGGGAGGCGUUACCCGCAGAAGAAGCACCGGCUAACUCCGUGCCAGCAGCCGCGGUAAUUC